GAAUCUGUGAUUAAAAUCGAUCGUGAAUUAGUUGUCGAUUGGCAACUGAGCGAGUCCAGUCCUCAAAUUACAGUAGCCCAACUUUGUCCAUUCAAGAAGAUGCCAGAUGGAAAUUAUGGAAUCUGCGUUGAACUUGUCAUUAGACAAAAGCAGUGUUGUAAAUUAUCUUGCAUGUUAAAAAAAAAAAAAAAAAAAAAAAAAGUUUGAAAUGUAAAAUGGUGGCCUUGCAGUCAACUAAAAUAAAAAA